rnacentral:rRNA from 1 species
CAGCCGCCGCGGUAAUACGUAGGUGGCAAGCGCUGUCCGGAAUUAUUGGGCGUAAAGGGCUCGCAGGCGGUUUCUUAAGUCUGAUGUGAAAGCCCCCGGCUCAACCGGGGAGGGUCAUUGGAAACUGGGAAACUUGAGUGCAGAAGAGGAGAGUGGAAUUCCACGUGUAGCGGUGAAAUGCGUAGAGAUGUGGAGGAACACCAGUGGCGAAGGCGACUCUCUGGUCUGUAACUGACGCUGAGGAGCGAAAGCGUGGGGAGCGAACAGGAUUAGAUACCCCAGUAGUCCCUGUCUCUUAUAC